UCGGGAAUUUUGGGCAAUGGGCGAAAGCCUGACCCAGCAACGCCGCGUGAAGGAUGAAGUAUUUCGGUAUGUAAACUUCGAAAGAAUAGGAAGAAUAAAUGACGGUACUAUUUAUAAGGUCCGGCUAACUACGUGCCAGCAGCCGCGGUAAUACGUAGGGACCAAGCGUUGUUCGGAUUUACUGGGCGUAAAGGGCGCGUAGGCGGCAAUUCAAGUCAUCUGUGAAAUCUCCGGGCUUAACUCGGAACGGUCAGAUGAUACUGGCUGUCUAGAGUCCGAGAGAGGUGGGUGGAAUUCCUAGUGUAGAGGUGAAAUUCGUAGAUAUUAGGAAGAACACCGGUGGCGAAGGCGGCCCACUGGCUCGGUACUGACACUGAGGUGCGAAAGCGUGGGGAGCAAACAGGAUUAGAUACCCACGUAGUCCCUGAGCGGGCUGGCAAGGCGCAU
rnacentral:rRNA from 1 species